CGGGGCGUAGCUCAGUUUGGUAGAGCGCUCGCUUUGGGAGCGAGAGGCCGCUGGUUCAAAUCCAGUCGCCCCGA
rnacentral:tRNA from 1 species